GUGGGGGCAUGUAGGGGGAGGGUAUUAUAAAUGCAGAUCUCAGGCCCUCCGGAAGCUGCAAGAAGUGAUCUCACAGAUGCCAGUGACCCAGCCCUGAUUCAGCCCUGCCUAGCCCUGACCCUACUCUGGCCCCUCUCUGACCCUGUUGUCUCCACCCUGACCCCACUCUGACCCCACCUUGGCCCCUCUCUGACCCUGCUCUGUCUCCACCCUGAUUACUCCCUACCCUCCAUCUCACCCCUGCCCUGCCCUGAUGCUUUAACCCAGCAGUGACCUCUUCUUGACCCAAUCCUGACCCUCCUCAGACCCCACGCUGAACUCGUCCUGAUCAGCCUCAGCCCCAUUGUCACUCACGUGGAGCUAGGACGGAGGAUGAGUCCAUGGCCAACGUCUCAACCUCCUGGAACUCCCCCAACUGUCAUGGAACCUCCCCCCUGCCCCCAACUGCAGGCCACACUGCAGCCUGGAGGCCUGCCUGUGGACAGCAGGAGAGACCAAGAAACACAGAAGAAGGGACAGAGAGAUGCAAAGGCCAAGGGACAGGGCCUGAACCCCGGAGAGAGACCAACGGACUUCCAGGUAGCCAUGGAGGUGCCUGCAAGGAGGGGCUGAGGCAGUUGGCAGGCUGUUGAGUGCAUCUGGGGACUGACCUUGCCCUGCGUCUCCUCAUGUCCCAGAGGCCCCAAUCUGGCCACGAGAGCACCCAGCCAGAUUUCCAUCCAGAAUCUCCAAAUAACAACCAAGAUGAGACCCAAAACCCUUCGCCACUUACCUACAGGCCCCAGGUCAGUACUCAGGACUCUCCACCGAUUGUCCACAGUCGCCGGGUCAGUAUCCAAGAACCCCUGCCCAUUAGCCACAGUCGCCGGGUCAGUAUCCAAGAACCCCUGCCCAUUAGCCACAGUCGCCGGGUCAGUAUCCAAGACCCUCCACCAGUGAGCAGUCGCCGAGUCAGCAUCCAAGACACACCAUCCAUUUUCAGCAGUCGCCGAGUCAGUACCCAAGACACACCAUCCAUUUUCAACAGUCGCCGAGUCAGUACCCAAGACACACCGCCACUUACCUACAGUCGCUGGGUCAAUAGCCAAGAGCUUCUACCAGUUCUCCAAACUCGCCGCCCCAGCGUCCAAAGCCCUCCAUUGAUUACGCACACCACCCUGAGGAGUAUAGAAUCAAGUGACGACAGUAGUGAAGUCAGUCUCCCGGACCACCGGCCAAAAACUGGCAUCUGGCCGGUAAUCCGGGCCAAAGUCGACAUCCCCCCUUCAAUUACUGACAGCCCCGAGGCCAGUAUCAAAAGCAUGGAAUCGAUUACCUGGGCCUCCCAGGAGAGUCUCAAAGGCUCUACGGACAGCUCCCAAUUCAACCAAACUACUCUAGAGAAAAGCACCCUCAGCUCACCAUCAGGCCACGACUUUGAGGUCAAUUCUGGCAGGUUUCUUGUCCUAUCUCAACUACAUGAAUUUCUGGUCCAUCCUGGCGAUCCAGGCUGUCUGGACUUAGGACGUGGGAAUGACCCCGCCUCUGACCUGCUCCCACAGCUCGCUGCCAAGCACCUGGCAGGACUUUUUCAGUCUCUUCUGAAUCCCUCCCCAACUCAGAUUAAUAAUUUGUACUUUUAAAUAAUCUGUAUUUUUCGCCCAAAAUAUUCUUUUAGC
ensembl:lncRNA